GGAUGUGAGGGCAAUCUGGCUGCGACAUCUGUCACCCCAUUGAUCUCCAGGGUUGAUUCGGCUGAUCUGGCUGGCUAGGCGGGUGUCCCCUUCCUCCCUCAAAGCUCCGUGUGCGACCCUUCCGAAGCUGCGCACUCCGUCGAAGCGGACCACCCACCCCGAUAGAGAAGGACUGUUCCUCGGUCAAGGGUGUAGGAGUAACUGCUCUUCCUUGCUAGAACCUCCAAACAAAUACUCAAAAACAGAAAAGUAACAAAUAAUGAAAUAGCUUUAUUUAAUCUUUUAUAGUCAAAGAACGUCAUUUGUUUUAAGUUACUUU
rnacentral:snRNA from 1 species